ACUUAGUGCAGAGUGAUGGGUGACAUGGCUGAUUGGUUUCCAGGAGGUAUAGUCAGUAGGAAUUACCCUCUUACCAAGUUACUGAUACAGAAAGGAGAAUAAAAACUGGGCAAGAAAAAAAAAGUUGAUAAGCUUCUACUGUAUUGAAGUUUACUGGGUAUUGUUUUUCUUCAAGCAUCCAAGUUUCUUCUUCCUUUUUUUUUUUUUUUUUUUUUUUUUUUUUUUUUUUUUGACAGGAGUUACCAUGAUUUAGAUACUGAUAUUUCCAUUAUCUGCAUUAUUUGGGGUGUGUUUAGAACAAAAAAAGAAACAAUAAUUGAUACUUCCUUUGAGAUUCUUUUCCCAUUUAUCAGAAUGGUUCAUUUACUUUUAUUUCUUUAAUUUAAAAGUUAUUCUAGAUACUUUACGGGAAGGUGAGUUUAAGUUCUAGCAGCAGUUGUUCAGAGUCAAAUAAAUCAGCCCAAGAAUCCCCUACCUGUAAAUUAUAACUUUUUAUUGUACAAAUGGCAUCAGUCAUGCAUUUUGAUUGUGUAGGCAUGCAGAGUGGUGACCCAGGUGUGGAGAUGGAAGUCCAUCUGGCCAAUCAUCUUUGCUGUUACCAGCCAUAGUUUGUUUUUUCUUCUAUCUAAAUUUGAGCAAGAAAUGUCUUUAGCCAGCUCCAAGAGGCUAUGAUAGCUCUAUAAUUUUUCCAAAUUAAAGCAGAAGAAAUUACCUUGUUAUUUUUUUUUUCGUGGUCACAUAACAUAUUAUUUUCAUUGAUAACAUAAUUAUAUAGGACAAUAAGAAAACAAAAUCCAAACUGUCCUGAUUUAGGACCUGUUCAACAAGACUACUGUUAAUGUUAUACUCAUGAUAGUUACCUGUCUCUGUACAGUAGAAAUAUUAAAUUUUAGCCUGAACAAACCAAUCACUGAAUAAAAGCAACUCUCCCAAUAAAAGUUAUUAUAAUUUAAGUGUUUCAAAACUUGUUUUUUUUCACAAAGUGAUCAGUUAUGAGUUUAAUAUUAACUAUGAGUAAACAGAUGAAAGCAUGGUAAUAAUGCCCAAUAAUAUUUGGUUUGGUUUUCCAUGUCAUAUGGAGCAUUAAUUUUUAUUGGUGUUAAACCAUAAAGAAUAAUAUCUUUUUCAGUGAUUGUGCAUAACAGAAAGACCUCUUUAUAUACAUAAAUAAGCACACAGAGGUAUGUAUAUAUGUUAUAGAUGUGUGUAUGUGUGUGUGCACAGUGGUGCUGCAAAAAUAUUAUACUACUGCCUCUAAAAGUCCUCCCACUAAUUCUUUAUUCCACCCUUUGCUUGGUAGAGUACAAAAAUAAUAAACAUAAAAGCAACACCAGAAUACCACUUGAAUGUGAACCUAGACCACAACCAAGAUUGCUAAUGGCCAAAUUAACUUUUAUCAACACAAACAUUAGUAUUUAGUCUUUUAGCAAGAAUGCAUAAAGCCAUCCUUUCAAACUUUUUUAUAGCAAGCAAAUAUUCAGUGUCUAAAGACAAUGUACAAGGUAUUGCAAAGUUUUUGAAAAUCUACUGUUUUAAGAAAGACUUUGUAGAAGAAAUUAGGAAAAGGAAAAUACGAAUUUACCCUUUUUAAUAAAUUAGGAAAAACAUGUAUCUCAUUAAUAUAUUUUUCAAUUAUUUUUUGUAAACUAUCAAGUCAUAAUGGACUACAAAACUGAGGUGAUACUGAACCGAAGACAAAGGUUACAGAAAACCUGGACUGUCUUGGAAUGAAUAAGAUCAGUUUUCAAAUAUUGGCAAAUAUUUUUAAAUGGAGAAACAAGCAAGAUGCUUCAUCCAAAGCAAUGAGCUUUGAUAAUUUCAGACCUAUUUAUGUCACAGAUUCCAGAAUCAAGGUCUAUAUUCCUUUUUUAAAAAACAAACAAACAAAAAAACAAAAAACAAAACAAAAAAAACCAAUCUUUUGAUAGUCAAAGUGAAGCCUGAUAGGAAUCAGUAUCUUCCAAACAUAGCUCAAGUAUCAUAAACACAUCCUAGAUAUUCUGUAACCAUGUUGCUAUAUUUGAUGUUUAGAAUCUUAAAACUUCCAGACCACAUUUAUUUCUAUGGACAACCCAUAACUUUUCCACAAAUACAGUGCUUCUUACUUGUCUGUAUAAUUGAACAUCUAGUUCUUAUUUAAACCACCACAAAUUAAAACUAUCUGCAAACUAAAUGAACACACAGCCAAUUCCAGAAAGUAAAAUAAAGUAUUUAAUAAAGCUAAUUACCUCUAUAAUUCCUUAGUGAUUCAUUGGCCAAUCUCCAACAAACAUGCUCAAUAUUCCAUACGGUGACUUCAACAUUAUACUAAAAAUACACUUCUUUAAAUUUGAUGUUAUUUCUGGGUAGUAGCCAAUUUUAUAACAGUGACUUUUAAAUUGUAUUUAUUUUUCAAAUUAAUAGAAAUAACACCUGUGGUGGUCUAAAACAGUGUCUAAUAAUAACAAGGAUGGUAAUGAUCAAGGUAAAAAUUCUUUACAUGUCCCGAAGUCUUUUUUAAAACUAUACAUUACUUUACUUCUAAAUUUGUUUUUGUAUUUUUUUCUCUUGGCAGCACCCACAGCAUGCAAAAAUUCCCAGGCCAGGGACUGAAUCCGCACCACAGCAGUGACCCAAGCCACUGCAAUGACAAUGCCAGAUCCUUAACCUGCUGCCCCACGAGAGAAUUCCUCUUUUAGUUACUGACACUCAUCUGCCUAAAAUUCUGUACAGCCAGUUAAUCCUUCCUAUAGAAUGUGAGCAUUUCCCUUAAAAAACAAACAAACAAACAAACAAAAGCAGUCGUCAUGUUUGGAGCUUUUACUUUUGUCUAAAAGAUCACGUUUUGUCCUUGUUCAAUCUCACCCUUCCACAGAGGGAGAUAAGGAAAGAGGCUGACAGGCUUAGUAACUUUUCCAGUUUACAGAGAUAAUAAAUGACAAAGCUGGGAUUAAAAGGCUUUGGUUCCUACGACUAUAGCAAUCCCACUAUAAUCUGGCCAUUUUCUGGUGCCACCUCCUACAAUUCCACAUGUUUUAUUCUCUGCUGUGUUUCGUGAGUUUAGCAAUCAUUUUACAUAAAACAUUCUCAUCCCUAUUAAUUUGGAUGUCAAUACUUAAAGGAAAAGUAAUAAAACAGAGGAAAGAGAAGUGUAUAUAAUCAUAGAAAACAAAUGUAUACACAUCCUUUUUAUUGGUUUACUACUGUUGAUUAAAAGCUGUUGUUUUUACAGCAAUGGCAAUGUUCAGGGGAAGGAAGGCAAUUUGUUCUACAAAUGUAGACAAUCAUUAUAGGACUUUGUUUUAUAAAAAUAAUGGAAAUAAAACAUCCAAGUGUCAAAUAAAAGUAUAAAUAAAAUUGUACAGACAGUUAUUUUUCAAAUGUUCAAAGCUCUAUAACAUUGUACCUACGUAGCAACAUUUUUAAUGUAUAAAAUUAUUUUUUACCUCAGCUACUAAAAUAAGAAUUUCUAGAAGGGUCUUUAUUGAUUGUCACAGAAGAGUCCUUGAGGUGAUAGAUGUUAACGCCUAAACAUUUCUAGAUAAAUUUUUCAGAGAAUUAAUGGUGUCACUAAAGCUUCCUAGUAUAUUAAGUAGAGCUGAACUUUACUAACACAAACCCACUAUAGUAAGAAAUUCAUAGAAAAAAAUCUAUAUUUUUUUUAAUAUUUUCUAACUCCAUUUUCAUUUAAUAGCUCAUUUAUAUUACUCAUGUUAAAAGUUGUAAGAGAGGAGUUCCUGUCAUGGUGCAGCGGAAACGAAUCCAACUAGGAACCAAGAGUUCUCUGGCUCCUCACCAGAAUUUCAUGUUAUUUUAUCUAGUGUGAUGGUUGGGUACCAACAUCUCAUUGAGUUUUUAAUAUUCACAUCCCUAACAGCAAAUGAUGUUAAACAUCUUUUCAUAGGUGUUUCUGCCAUCUGUACAUACUUGGUGGAAUAUCUCUUCAUAUCUUUUGCUCAUUUUCUAAUUGGAGUGUUUGUGUUUUUACUGUUGAGUUUUGAGAGUUCUUUAUACGUUCUAGAUAUGAGUCCUUGGUCAGAUAUACAGCUUGUAAAUAUUUUUGCCAAGUUUGUAAUGUGCAUUUUCAUUUUCUCCACAUGGGUUUUUUUCAGAGCAAAAUAUUUUAAUAUUGAUGAGUCCAAUGAUCAACUUUUCUUUUUUAUUGAUCAUACUUUGGUGUUCAGUCAAAAAAACUCUUUGCUCCACCAUAAGUCUGAAGAUUUUGCCUAUAGUUUCCUUGAAAAGGAAUAUAGUUUUAUGUUUUAUGUUUUACAUUUAACUCAAUGGUCUAUUUUCAGUUAAUUUGUAUAUAAAGUGUUUAGUUCAAGGUUCAUAUUUUGACAUUGGAUGUCCAACUGUUCCAGCACAUAUAUAAUUUUUUAACACAUUCAGAGUUUUCAUUUAUUGAGUGAUUAUAUUUGGACUCAGUCAAAGAAAAAUGAAUGUAUUUUCAGAUCUAUGCCCACAUUAACGUGACUAUCACCAAAGCAGCUCUGUGGCAAUCACACCAGGCUUGAAUAACUUAGGAGGUUAAGAGAAAGAACACAAAUAAACAUUUACCUUAUUAAAAGAAAACAACCUGGAAAAUAACAGCAGAAUCAUUUAAUUAAUUAUUAAUCUUUUUUAAUAUCUAGGAGAUUUUGAAUUAAUAGCAAGACAAAGAUUUAUGAAAUUUAAAAUGAAAAAACUACUUUGUUCAUAUUAAAUUUCAUUUACUAUCAAAACAGCUAAACCUGAUUUGGAUAUUCUGUAUGGUAAUAAAUAUGUCAAGCUUCAGUUGGAGCUGGCAAAUAUUCAAGAGAACAUUCAUUUCUUUGCAGCCCUCUCCCAUGAAACAUAAAGUGAGCAUCUUCUGAUGCUAUAGAUAUGCUUAAUUCAAUAGUA
rnacentral:lncRNA from 1 species